UCAUAUUCUCUUCAUUGCUUUCUUCAUUUUUGCUGCUAUUUUCUUUACUGAUCUUCAAAGAAGGCAGGAUUUGUUUAGACAGAGAAGGCACUUAUUGCCACAGAGGAUUUUGGAUCCUUUUGGCCCUGCCUUCUGUCUGCCUAUAGAAUGGAAGAAUUAUUUCUUCAGAUCUCAACUCUGAAAACAUGUCUGAGGUCAGAUUGCCUAGAUCUGAAUGCUAGCUGCGACAGCAUGUUCUAGGUUUCACCUACUGCUCCUAUGUUGUACUGGGACAGCAGAGUUUCCUUCCAUACUACAAAAUUGGUGUUUCUUCUAUGUGAUUUGGAUUCUCAUUUCUUCCUGUUCAGUCUUAUAUGCUGAUUUAUGCUGAAAGACCCAAUCAGUGCUGAAAUGUUACAGUUUACAAAGGACAAGCUAAGCUAACUGUGGAAACCUUCUUGUUCUGUUGACAUCCCAUCUGAAUCACCCCAGAGAAGAUUCUAGCUUUCCAGCUAUCAAGUGUUGACCUUACACCCCUUGUCUUCCUCUAACAUGAGGCUCUGAAGGCUAGUACCAGUCUCCACAGGACUGGUAGAGAAGGAAAUUUUUGCCCAUUACGUUUUAUUUCCUCCUGCAUUUUCAUAUAAAUUACCCCUGCAUGCAGAAGUAGUUCCCAAAAGACACUCACCUGUGACUAUCCAUAUUCUUAUAAUGGAUCCUAAGUUAUCAUCCACUACUACAAUGAGCUUCCAGGAUGGAGAAAAGAGUACAAAUAUAUAAUAACAAGUUAGAAAAAGAAUUCUACUGGUCUUGCAGGAGAAAGGUUUAAAGCUCACAAGUGCAAAAGAAAGAAUAUACAAAAGUGAAAUAUGUCCUCCCACUAGCUAGUUGAAAUGCAAGGGCACAUUAAACUCAGAUCUAUAAGAAGGAAAAGCAAAGUGCUUUUUUUCUAUUCUUUUAUUGUGACAGCUUCUGCACCAUGAAUGCUGGUCUAUUUAGUACCAGCUGAUUCUCUCUCAUGCAAACUUCCUCCUCAUGUGUAAUUUUUGCAUAAAAGGUUUUUUUUCAUGUGUUUAGAGUAAAGUAAUCAAGAUGGUUAACUUGCAAAUGAAUUAAAACUACAAAUGUCAGGAGUUUCUGAGAGCUGACAUUAACAUAAUAUUCUUGAGGGAUUGUGCUGCUCCAGCUAAUUGGACUGUUCUGAUAGAAGGCAAAAUGGAAUAAAAAUAAUGUGUGUCAUGAAGCAUGUUAGAUUCAACCUUAGAGAGAAGCUAUCGGAAUGAUUUGCUGGGGUCACAGUCACCUGCUGUUGGUUGGGAGUUAUUCACAGCUCCUAGGCCCUCUAAGUCUUUGUAUGUGGACCCAUCUUUCUUCAAGCCAACAACAUUCCAGGGAUGACUGCAUAGAAUAUUCUACAUUAUACAAGAACAUAUGUAUCCAACAUAUUGUACAAUAUUGGAAUAUCAUCACUAUUGGAUAGCAGGUUACUGCAUUCAGUAAGCGUUGGACAGAGGUGAAAACCAAGUUAGGGGACGUGAAGAGUCAGAGCCAGAAUAUUCAGGAACCAAAGCAGGUGGAAUCUUGCACCAAGAAACAGAAUCCAAAAAAAGUCACAAGAGAUGUUACUGGUACUUCACGAGUGGACAAGUUGAAGAGAAACUACCAGAGACAUUUUGAGAGGUGUGAUCCAUGAAGGAGACCAAAAUCCAAAGCUAUAGAAUACUGCCAUGUCCAGGAAGAGGCCUUUCUUCUCUCUGCCUGGCUCUGUUCUCUCCAGAUGUACCCAUAGCUUACACUUGAUACAACAAGGAGUAUAGAGGCCUGGUUAUCCUCUGCUUAGACAAAUAUUUUUUAAAAAUAAAUUUAUCUUUUAUUCUGCUUGUUUCUGCUAGGUGCUCAGUUCAGGUAUCACAUUUGUCAAAUGGUGUAAUCAUCUCUUCGCCUGAAGACAAGAGCCUGGGGAACUUCUCAAAUGCCAGCCAGCACUUAGCCAGCAAAACUCCUUGAAGGUAAAGAUGGCCAAAAGGCACACAGCAUGAAGGACAGGUAAGCAAUCACUCAUUUUUAAAAUUAGCUGAAAAACCCAAGUAUUUUGGCUCAUCAGCACAAAGAGACAGUAGGAUAUAUAGCCUAAAUUGACAAUUCCCUCAAUAUGAAGAAAGCAGGCAGUCUCAGAUUGAAAC
rnacentral:lncRNA from 1 species